rnacentral:lncRNA from 1 species
GGACGCUGGCUACGGGUGGCCGGGCGGGAUGUAACCGGCUGCUGAGCUGGCAGUUCUGUGUCCCCAGGCUUCGGCCCGGCCGCCGCCGCACAUAAACUGCGAGGAGGAGCUUUACGACUUCUCGGUCUUCGGGGCCGGGCGCAGCAAGGGCCAGACUCUGCGCUAGCAGGCGCUGCGCGCCAACCGGCCGGCCCCUGUCGCAGAAGGUGCAACCGAUCGCACUGUCGCGCAGAAGCUCCUCAAUGGCCAGCGCCAGCUGCAGCCCCGGCUGCCCACUCGCCUCACCUGAGCCUGGGUGGAACAAUCCAAAGUUUUAAUCAAAGAAGGUGGUAUUCAGUUGCUGCUUACAAUAGUUGAUACCCCAGGAUUUGGAGAUGCAGUGGAUAAUAGUAAUUGCUGGCAGCCUGUUAUCAAUUACAUUGAUAGUAAAUUUGAGGACUACCUAAAUGCAGAAUCGCAAGUGAACAGAUGUCAGAUGCCUGGUAACAGGGUGCACUGUUGUUUAUACUUCAUUGCUCCUUCAGGACAUGGACCGUUACAUAACUGAAGACUCCCACCUUCAGGCAGGAUUGGGUAGUACAUGUUUGUAACUACCUGGCAUUGCCUUUUGUUGAGACUUAAACCAUUGGAUAUUGAGUUUACAAAGCAUUUGCAUGAAAAAGUGAAUAUCAUCCCACUUAUUGCCAAAGCAGACACACUCAUGCCAGAGGAAUGCCAACAGUUUAAAAAACAGAUAAAGAAAUCCAAGAACAUAAAGUUAAAAUAUAUGAAUUUCCAGAAACAGAUGAUGAAGAAGAAAAAAAACUUGUUAAAAAGAUAAAGGACCAUUUACCUCUUGCUGUGGUGGGUAGUAAUACUAUCAUUGAAGUUAAUGGCAAAAGGGUCAUAGGAAGGCAGUAUCCUUGGAGUGUUGCUGAAGAUGGAGUCUCGCUCUGUCACCCAGGCUGGAAUGCAGUGGCAUGAUCUUGGCUCACUGCAACCUCCGCCUCCCGAGUUCAAGAGAUUCUUCUGCCUCAGCCUCCCAAGUAGCUGGGACUAAAGUUGAAAAUGGUGAACAUUGUGAUUUUACAGUUUUAAGAAAUAUGUUGAUAAGAACACACGCAGGACUUGAAAGAUGUUACUAAUAAUGUCCACUACGAGAACUAUGGAAUCAGAAAACUGGCAGCUGUGACUUAUCAUGGAGUUGAUAACAAGAAGAAUAAAGGGCAGCUCACUAAGAGCCCUCUGGCACAAAUGGAAGAAGAAAGAAGGGAGCAAGUAGCUAAAAUUAAGAAGAUGGAGAUGGAGAUGGAGCAGGUGUUUGAGAUGAAGGUCAAAGAAAAAGUUCAAAAACUGAAGGACUCUGAAGCUGAGGUACAGCGGACCUUCCUGGCAUCAGAAAAAGGCCUCCAGAAAAAGAGACACAGGGUUAUGGACUCUCAGAGCCAGAAGAAGGUCAUCUCUCCUUUGCUCCUCGUAUGCUGGGAUCUGCCACAUCAAUGGCAACCGCUGGGCCUCCAGAAUUUGCUCCAGGGUGUUUGGAAGUCCUGACACCCUCCUGAUCUUCUCUGUAACAUGCACACUUUGGCCUGUGUCAGUUUGCUGGAACCACAUCAGGCCGGCCCUCUUCCUGGGACAAAAUUCUUUCUUUUUCUUUCUUUCUUUUUCUUUCUCUUUCUUUCUUUUUCUUUCUCUUUCUUUCUCUUUUCCCUUCCUUCCUUCCUUCCUUCCUUCCUUCCUUCCUUCCUUCCCUUUUCUUUUCUUUUCUUUCUACUGUGACAUGAUCUUGGCUCACUGCAAUCUCUCUCUCCUGGGUUCAAGUGAUUCUACUGCCUCAGCCUCCAAAGUAGCUGGGAUUACAGGUUUGCACCACCAUGCCCGGCUAAUUUUUUGUAUUUUUAGUAGAGACAGUGUUUCACCAUGUUGGCCAGGCUGGUCUCCAUCACCUGAUCUCAGGUGAUCCACCCACCUCAGCCUCCCAAAGUGCUGGGACUACAGGCAUGAGCCACCACGCCUGGCCGAGAGACAGUUAAGUUAUACUUUAAAUGAUAAUAGGCCUCCCCCAAAACUCAGCUGCUUUUGUAAAGCUAAUGGGAGGCCAUCAGGCUGGGGGCAAGGAGGAGAGCCCGGAUCCUGCUAAGGUGCAGACAUAAACGAGUAUCAGCCAUUAUUCUGGAGGUUAUAAGAUAUGCACCUUCCCCAAUUACCCCUGCAAUCACACCAUUAUUGUAGAUUGGCCCUUAGAGUAUCUUUUCAGGUUUUUUGGCAUGUCUGACACUCAUGGCUCUACUUGGACCCACCAACCCUGCUCCUAUGGCUCCACCCAGAAGCCAUUCAGCCUAGAGGACAGCUCUGACCCCCCCUGUGAUUUCAUACAAUCAGCAGCAAGUAACUGUUACCUCACCAUCCCCACCCCUUCUGCCAGACUGCCUUUGAAAAACCUCUAACCUGUGAGCACGAGAUGAUUCCAGAACAAACUCUGUCUCCCAUGUGGCAUGACCAGCCUUGGGUCUCUUAAACUUUUUCUCCACUAUAAUGCCAUGGUCUUUAUGCAGCAGGCAGGAAGAAUUCAGGUGGUUAUAAUUCCGUAUGUGCUUUUUGAACAUUUUUCUACUGGGCUAUUGCUCUCUUCAUAAUGAUUUUUUUAACUUCUCUCUAUAAGGAACUGAUUUCAUCUGAAAUUGAAGAGACAAUCAGAGAAAAACUAUAGACCACUCAUGAUGGUUGUUAUAUGUGCUUGGCUGGGCCAUGGGUCCCAGUGUUUGGUGAAACACAGCAGCAGAUGUCCCUCACACACAUGCCCUCUUGGUUCUGUUUCUUUGAAGAACCCCAGGAAAACACACAAAGGAAAAACAACUCGAUAGACAGAAGAUUCUUCAAUGACAACAAUGGAAGCCAUCUUCACCAUUCAACUAAACUUGAAUGGGAUAUUAUCAAACUUAAAAAAAAAUUAUCAACUGAUCGUGUAAUCAGUUUCAUCUUUUAAGACAGGAAAUGAAAUAAAGUAUUUACAGAUGAAUGUAAAAU